GUGAGUCAUCGAAUCUUUGAACGCACAUUGCGCCCCUUGGUAUUCCGAGGGGCAUGCCUGUUCGAGCGUCAUUAUACAAUUCUUCAAGCCUGGGCUUGGUGUUGGGUCUUCGUCUCUCACUCUCUCCCCUCCCUACUUUUCGAGGAGGAGGACCUGGACGUACCUGAAAAUUAGUUGGCGGUGCCCAUGGUGGUCUCAAGCGUAGCAGACUUUCUCUCGCUUUGGAUGGCCUGUUCAUGUGGCUUACCGGCCCUGCAUAUGCAUCUUCAACCAAUGUUUGACCUCGGAUCAGGUAGGGAUACCCGCUGAACUUAAGCAUAUCAAUAAGCGGAGGA
rnacentral:misc_RNA from 1 species